rnacentral:rRNA from 1 species
UCCGGUUGAUCCUGCCAGAGGCCGCUGCUAUCCGGCUGGGACUAAGCCAUGCUAGUCUAGGGGCUUGUACCCCUUCGGGGGUGCAAGCACCGGCGGACGGCUCAGUAACACGUGGACAACCUGCCCUCGGGUGGGGGAUAACCCCGGGAAACUGGGGCUAAUCCCCCAUAGGUGAUGGGUGCUGGAAUGCCCCAUCUCCGAAAGCGCUCAGCGCCCGAGGAUGGGUCUGCGGCGGAUUAGGUAGUUGGUGGGGUAACGGCCCACCAAGCCUAAGAUCCGUACGGGCUGUGGGAGCAGGAGCCCGGAGAUGGACCCUGAGACAAGGGUCCAGGCCCUACGGGGCGCAGCAGGCGCGAAACCUCCGCAAUGCGGGAAACCGCGACGGGGUUAGCCGGAGUGCCCGUGCAUUGCACGGGCUGUCGGGGUGCCUAAACAGCACCCCAUAGCAAGGGCCGGGCAAGGCCGGUGGCAGCCGCCGCGGUAAGACCGGCGGCCCGAGUGGCGGCCACUCUUAUUGGGCCUAAAGCGUCCGUAGCCGGCCCAGUAAGUCCCCCGGGAAAUCUGGUCGCUUAACGAUCAGACUUCCGGGGGAUACUGCUGGGCUAGGGACCGGGAGAG